AUUGAGCUAAUUAAAUUUGGUUCGAUGAUUAAGGGCUCGAUUAAGUGAAGAGGUCCAAAGUUUUAAUGUUUAAUUAUUAUCACGGACCAAACAAGUGUCACUAACCAAGUAGGAAAGAAAGAAGAAAUGGCCCAAAACAAAAGAAGGCAUGAGGCCCAGUUCGUAGCAUUGCUAAUCAGGCCUGAUCUUGCGGUCCAAUGUCCAAUCAGGCGGUAGAAGUCCAAGCCAAAAGUUAAAGAGAAUAAUUGGUAUACACUAUACCCUAGUGUAGGUAGCCCAACCUACACUCCCUCUAAACGCAGCAUUUAGAGUUACUACCCACACCCCCUCCACUAACCCACAAUAAUUACCCACUCCCCACAAUAACCGCAGUAACUGCAUAAUAAAAAAAAAAAAAUCAAUUUCAAAUCAUUCUCUUACUCUAAACACCAUCUUCUUCAUUUCUCUAGAGUUUCUCUCUCAUCAAACCCAACGAAUCACAACAAAAUCAUACUCCAAAAUUGCUUCAAAUGUCUGAUAUUCGAGAAGAAAUUAAACAAUCACAACAAAAAGAGUAAGUAAUUUCGUUAGUUUUGUUCAUUUUUUGAGAUUGUAGUGCAAUUUUAUGUGUGAAACCUUAAUUUUGUUCAUUUUGUUGCGAUUGUAGUGCGAUUUUGCAAAAAACCACUACAGAGAAGAACAUGCAAGAAGAAACUGCAAAAUCGGAGCAAAAUGUAUCUAAAGAUAUGAUUUUGGAGAAGAAUACUUCAGAGACGAGUAAUUUGUUGAAAA